CCCCCCCCCCCCCCCCGCCCAUGCUGAGUACAAUUUAAUUGAUGAAACACAAAGAACAAUUUGUUUUGCACCUCCCUCUCCCUCAUCCUGUGGCUUGAUCUGUGAUCUUCCAUUCCUCUUUGUGGAAUGAUGUUAUUUGUUCACAUUUGAAUUUGGAUUUUAAAAACUUAUCUUUAACUGUUUGAUGUCCUUGAUACAAUCUGUGUUUGUCUAGGUGGCACAGAGCUGUAUCUACUGAUUUGGUAAAACAAAAUGUAUUGAUCCCGAAAGAGGAAUCAUCCAGUGAAAGUGACAUAGGAUUUCAUGAAAAUCAGCGAAAUGAGAAAAAAAAAUGUAAUGAAAAAAAUGCGGACUGCUUUUGGAAGAUUCCUGCCGUACACGUGUAGAAGCAAGCCAGCGGGCACUGGUAGAGAAGACUCCACGAGCCCUAAGAAAGCCCCACUCUCAAACACUCUGCGCCUCUUUCCUAGAAUCAUCAAGGAGCUUCCCUCUCCCAGGUUAUUCACCAAACCAAGGCCGAGAAGGCUGUCCCACAGCGCAACUAUACAACUUGAUGUAGAAGCAGAGACAGAGGAGAUAACUCGAGGAAAUACAUUCCUCAGAGCCAGGAGAACCACAAAGCGGUUAUCUGUGACAUCUCUGCCUUCAGGACCACAAAAGGUAAAAU
rnacentral:lncRNA from 1 species